GUGGCCGUAGCUCAGUUGGUAGAGCCCCUGAUUGUGGUUUAGGUUGUCGCGGGUUCGAGUCCCGUCGGUCGCC
rnacentral:tRNA from 1 species